AUUGAACGCUGGCGGCAUGCCUUACACAUGCAAGUCGAACGGUAACGCGGGGGCAACCUGGCGACGAGUGGCGAACGGGUGAGUAAUGCAUCGGAACGUACCCAGUAGUGGGGGAUAGCCCGGCGAAAGCCGGAUUAAUACCGCAUACGACCUAAGGGUGAAAGCGGGGGACCGUAAGGCCUCGCGCUAUUGGAGCGGCCGAUGUCAGAUUAGGUAGUUGGUGGGGUAAAGGCCUACCAAGCCUUCGAUCUGUAGCUGGUCUGAGAGGACGACCAGCCACACUGGGACUGAGACACGGCCCAGACUCCUACGGGAGGCAGCAGUGGGGAAUUUUGGACAAUGGGCGAAAGCCUGAUCCAGCCAUGCCGCGUGCGGGAAGAAGGCCUUCGGGUUGUAAACCGCUUUUGUCAGGGAAGAAACGCUCUGGGCUAAUACCCUGGGGUAAUGACGGUACCUGAAGAAUAAGCACCGGCUAACUACGUG
rnacentral:rRNA from 1 species